rnacentral:rRNA from 1 species
AUACGUAGGGUGCAAGCGUUAAUCGGAUUUAUUGGGCGUAAAGAGUGCGUAGGUGGUUUUGUAAGCGCGGUGUGAAAGGCAAUGGCUCAACCAUUGUAAGCCCUGCGAACUGUGAGACUUGAGUGCAGGAGAGGAAAGUGGAAUUCCUAGUGUAGCGGUGAAAUGCGUAGAUAUUAGGAGGAACACCAGUGGCGAAGGCGACUUUCUGGACUGUAACUGACACUGAGGCACGAAAGCGUGGGGAGCAAACAGGAUUAGAUACCCUGGUAGUCCACGCCGUAAACGAUGAGCACUAGGUGUCGGGGUCGCAAGGCUUCGGUGCCGCAGUUAACGCAUUAAGUGCUCCGCCUGGGGAGUACGCACGCAAGUGUGAAACUCAAAUGAAUUGACGGGG